rnacentral:tRNA from 1 species
GGGAGUAUACCUCAGUGGACAAUGUUUACCUAGAAUGUGCAAGGCCCUGGGUUCAAUCCCCAAUACUACCU